rnacentral:rRNA from 1 species
AUUGGAGGUAGAGCACUGUUUGGACGAGGGGCCCCUCUCGGGUUACCGAAUUCAGACAAACUCCGAAUGCCAAUUAAUUUAACUUGGGAGUCAGAACAUGGGUGAUAAGGUCCGUGUUCGAAAGGGAAACAGCCCAGACCACCAGCUAAGGUCCCAAAAUAUAUGUUAAGUGGAAAAGGAUGUGGCGUUGCCCAGACAACUAGGAUGUUGGCUUAGAAGCAGCCAUCAUUUAAAGAGUGCGUAAUAGCUCACUAGUCGAGUGACACUGCGCCGAAAAUGUACCGGGGCUAAACAUAUUACCGAAGCUGUGGAUUGUCCUUUGGACAAUGGUAGGAGAGCGUUCUAAGGGCGUUGAAGCAUGAUCGUAAGGACAUGUGGAGCGCUUAGAAGUGAGAAUGCCGGUGUGAGUAGCGAAAGACGGGUGAGAAUCCCGUCCACCGAUUGACUAAGGUUUCCAGAGGAAGGCUCGUCCGCUCUGGGUUAGUCGGGUCCUAAGCUGAGGCCGACAGGCGUAGGCGAUGGAUAACAGGUUGAUAUUCCUGUACCACCUAUAAUCGUUUUAAUCGAUGGGGGGACGCAGUAGGAUAGGCGAAGCGUGCGAUUGGAUUGCACGUCUAAGCAGUAAGGCUGAGUAUUAGGCAAAUCCGGUACUCGUUAAGGCUGAGCUGUGAUGGGGAGAAGACAUUGUGUCUUCGAGUCGUUGAUUUCACACUGCCGAGAAAAGCCUCUAGAUAGAAAAUAGGUGCCCGUACCGCAAACCGACACAGGUAGUCAAGAUGAGAAUUCUAAGGUGAGCGAGCGAACUCUCGUUAAGGAACUCGGCAAAAUGACCCCGUAACUUCGGGAGAAGGGGUGCUCUUUAGGGUUAACGCCCAGAAGAGCCGCAGUGAAUAGGCCCAAGCGACUGUUUAUCAAAAACACAGGUCUCUGCUAAACCGUAAGGUGAUGUAUAGGGGCUGACGCCUGCCCGGUGCUGGAAGGUUAAGAGGAGUGGUUAGCUUCUGCGAAGCUACGAAUCGAAGCCCCAGUAAACGGCGGCCGUAACUAUAACGGUCCUAAGGUAGCGAAAUUCCUUGUCGGGUAAGUUCCGACCCGCACGAAAGGCGUAACGAUUUGGGCACUGUCUCAACGAGAGACUCGGUGAAAUCAUAGUACCUGUGAAGAUGCAGGUUACCCGCGACAGGACGGAAAGACCCCGUGGAGCUUUACUGUAGCCUGAUAUUGAAAUUCGGCACAGCUUGUACAGGAUAGGUAGGAGCCUUUGAAACGUGAGCGCUAGCUUACGUGGAGGCGCUGGUGGGAUACUACCCUAGCUGUGUUGGCUUUCUAACCCGCACCACUUAUCGUGGUGGGAGACAGUGUCAGGCGGGCAGUUUGACUGGGGCGGUCGCCUCCUAAAAGGUAACGGAGGCGCUCAAAGGUUCCCUCAGAAUGGUUGGAAAUCAUUCAUAGAGUGUAAAGGCAUAAGGGAGCUUGACUGCGAGACCUACAAGUCGAGCAGGGUCGAAAGACGGACUUAGUGAUCCGGUGGUUCCGCAUGGAAGGGCCAUCGCUCAACGGAUAAAAGCUACCCCGGGGAUAACAGGCUUAUCUCCCCCAAGAGUUCACAUCGACGGGGAGGUUUGGCACCUCGAUGUCGGCUCAUCGCAUCCUGGGGCUGUAGUCGGUCCCAAGGGUUGGGCUGUUCGCCCAUUAAAGCGGUACGCGAGCUGGGUUCAGAACGUCGUGAGACAGUUCGGUCCCUAUCCGUCGUGGGCGUAGGAAAUUUGAGAGGAGCUGUCCUUAGUACGAGAGGACCGGGAUGGACAUACCUCUGGUGUACCAGUUGUCGUGCCAACGGCAUAGCUGGGUAGCUAUGUGUGGACGGGAUAAGUGCUGAAAGCAUCUAAGCAUGAAGCCCCCCUCAAGAUGAGAUUUCCCAACUUCGGUUAUAAGAUCCCUCAAAGAUGAUGAGGUUAAUAGGUUCGAGGUGGAAGCAUGGUGACAUGUGGAGCUGACGAAUACUAAUCGAUCGAAGACUUAAUCAA